ACGGGCUCUUGGGUGAUUGUGUAAGCAGCAUUUGUGUGCGUUCCUGACUAAAAUGCAGCGCUUCUUGAUUAUGGUCUGUUUCGUCCAGUUCCCGCUGUGACUAUGAAUAUAUAUGUGAGGAGGCGUGGCCUGCGGACCUGCAGCGAGGCGGGGCACGCCGGGGCCGGCUCCGAGAUGGGCGACAGUGUGCGGCCCUCGGUGGAAAAAGUUUGGACACCCCUGCUAUAUAUAAAAGGGCAGCAGCCGGGAAGGAGGGUGUUGGUGAAGUUGGGAGUGGAUGGCCGAGAACGAACCCGAGCCCGAGUGGAAGCGAGACAGAGACCAAGGCUAAAA